GAGUUUGAUUCUGGCUCAGGAUGAACGCUGGCGGCGUGCCUAAUACAUGCAAGUCGAGCGAGAAUCUGAACGACGGAGACUUCGGUCAAAGGAAUUCAGAGGAAAGCGGCGGACGGGUGAGUAACGCGUGGGCAACCUGCCCCAUACAGAGGGAUAGCAGUUGGAAACGACUAUUAAUACCUCAUACUCCGGUUUUAUCGCAUGAUAGAACCGGGAAAGAUUUAUCGGUAUGGGAUGGGCCCGCGUCUGAUUAGCUAGUUGGUGAGGUAACGGCUCACCAAGGCGACGAUCAGUAGCCAACCUUAGAGGGUGAUUGGCCACACUGGAACUGAGACACGGUCCAGACUCCUACGGGAGGCAGCAGUAGGGAAUAUUGGGCAAUGGGGGCAACCCUGACCCAGCAACGCCGCGUGAACGAUGAAAAUCUUCGGAUUGUAAAGUUCUUUUCUUGAGGAAGAAGAAAGUGANCGNCUC
rnacentral:rRNA from 1 species